rnacentral:rRNA from 1 species
UCUAAAUGUAAUUUUAAAGUUAAAGUAGUAUUAGUUAAGUUCUUGAAAUUUAAAAAUUUUGGCGGUAUUUUAAUCUUUUCAGAGGAAUCUGUUCUAUAAUUGAUAAUCCACGAUUAAUUAAACUUAUUUUAGAAAUUUAUAUAUCAUUGUAGUUUGAAUAUUUUAAAAGAAUUAAAUAUUCAAAAUUUUUUAUUAAAAAAUAAAUCAGAUCAAGGUGUAAUUAAUAAAUAAGUAGAAAUGGAUUACAAUAAAAAUAUUUUUGGAUUAUUUUUUUAAAAUUGGUAUGAAAUUGGAUUUGAAAGUAAUUUUUUUUAUUAAAAAAAUGAUUUAGCUCUAAAAUAUGC